GGGCCAUUAGCUCAGUGGUAGAGCAGAGGACUCUUAAUCCUCGUGUCGUGGGUUCGAGCCCCACAUGGCCCUCCA
rnacentral:tRNA from 1 species